rnacentral:lncRNA from 1 species
CAAAUCGAUUUAAUUUCGUCAAAAGUAAACAUUUUCGUAGGGGGAAAAGUCCGAAACGGAAGCACAACAAUGGAAGUCGUCGUUGUCCCCCCCGCAUCCAAGUUGUUGACAGCUCACGUUCUGCCCCAUAGACGAUACGAUGCUGAUGACGUUCACGUUGCCGUUGCCAUUGCCGUUGCCCCAAAUUUUAGCCCCUCUGAAUCCGUUGUAGCCUUCGUCUGUUCUUGUUGUUUCUGCAGGAUUGCACGCGCUGCCCAGCCGAC